CCUUCAGACUGCGGAGCCUACAAAGUCAUCAUCUCCAACUCAUCCGGACAGUCAGCAAUGGUCUGCGCAGUUGCAGUCAAACCCGAACCGCGUGCGCCGGUCUUCGUCAAGCCGUUCAACGACGCCACUGUCAUUUGCGGUGAGCCUCUUGCGUUGCAGGCUCAAGUUAUUGGCUUCCCUGUUCCCGAAAUCAAAUGGCUCAAGGAUGGAAUCCCGUUGCGUCCAUCGGACCAUGUCAACUUCAUAACUCAACCUGACGGUGUCAUUGGAAUCAAGUGAGUAAUUGAAACUGCAAAUCGCACAGUUGUUGAUUGAGUUUCUCUCUA
rnacentral:misc_RNA from 1 species